rnacentral:rRNA from 1 species
AUUGAACGCUGGCGGCAUGCUUUACACAUGCAAGUCGAACGGGCUGGGGGCAACUCCAGUCAGUGGCGAACGGGUGAGUAAUACAUCGGAACGUACCUCGUAGUGGGGGAUAACUCGGCGAAAGCCGUGCUAAUACCGCAUAUGCUCUACGGAGGAAAGCAGGGGACCGCAAGGCCUUGUGCUAUGGGAGCGGCCGAUGUCCGAUUAGCUAGUUGGUGAGGUAAUGGCUCACCAAGGCGACGAUCGGUAGCUGGUCUGAGAGGAUGGAUCAGCCACACUGGGACUGAGACACGGCCCAGACUCCUACGGGAGGCAGCAGUGGGGAAUUUUGGACAAUGGGGGCAACCCUGAUCCAGCCAUGCCGCGUGCGGGAAGAAGGCC